AGAUGAAAUAGUGGAUCAAUUUAUAUUGAGAUACCACAACAGUUUGAAAGAUAAUAAUCCGGUUUCUAGCUUCUGUCGUUCUGCAAUUAAAAAUAACUCGCAUUAUUUAAAAAUAAUUCUAAUAAAUUUAUUUUAAAUAAAUUUUACAAUAUUUUAUCUAGCAUUUCAACUACCAAUAAUUCACAAUUUUACAGUCACAGUAAUUUUCACUUUUAUUAUAAUUAUUAUAUAUUAUAAAUAUUAUUUUUGAAUUUUU